rnacentral:rRNA from 1 species
AAUAUUGGACAAUGGCCGAGAGGCUGAUCCAGCCAUGCCGCGUGCGGGAGGACGGCCCUAUGGGUUGUAAACCGCUUUUGUUGGGGAGCAAUAAGUGUUACGUGUAACAUGAUGAGAGUACCCAGCGAAUAAGCAUCGGCUAACUCCGUGCCAGCAGCCGCGGUAAUACGGAGGAUGCAAGCGUUAUCCGGAUUUAUUGGGUUUAAAGGGUGCGUAGGCGGGCUGCUAAGCGUGAGGUGAAAUGCCACGGCUCAACCGUGGAACUGCCUCGCGAACUGGUAGUCUUGAAUGUCCGUGCCGUGGGAGGAAUGUGUGGUGUAGCGGUGAAAUGCAUAGAGAUCACACAGAACACCGAUUGCGAAGGCAUCUCACGAACGGAUGAUUGACGCUGAGGCACGGAAGCGUGGGGAUCAAACAGG